UGGUGGCGACCGGCGCACGGGUGAGUAACGCGUAUGCAACCCAUCUAUCAGAGGGGAAUAACCCGGCGAAAGUCGGACUAAUACCGCAUAAAACAGGGACACCGCAUGGUGAUAUUUGUUAAAGAAAUUCGCUGAUAGAUGGGCAUGCGUUCCAUUAGGUAGUUGGUGAGGUAACGGCUCACCAAGCCGACGAUGGGUAGGGGAACUGAGAGGUUGGUCCCCCACACUGGUACUGAGACACGGACCAGACUCCUACGGGAGGCAGCAGUGAGGAAUAUUGGUCAAUGGGCGAGAGCCUGAACCAGCCAAGUCGCGUGAAGGAAGAAGGAUCUAUGGUUCGUAAACUUCUUUUGCAGGGGAAUAAAGUGCAGGACGUGUCCUGUUUUGUAUGUACCCUGAGAAUAAGGAUCGGCUAACUCCGUGCCAGCAGCCGCGGUAAUACGGAGGAUCCGAGCGUUAUCCGGAUUUAUUGGGUUUAAAGGGUGCGUAGGUGGUUUGAUAAGUCAGCGGUGAAAGUUUGCAGCUUAACUGUAAAAAUGCCGUUGAAACUGUCGGACUUGAGUGUAAAUGAGGUAGGCGGAAUGCGUGGUGUAGCGGUGAAAUGCUUAGAUAUCACGAAGAACUCCGAUUG
rnacentral:rRNA from 1 species